rnacentral:lncRNA from 1 species
GUUUUUUUGCUCUGGAGAGGUUAAUGGGGAAGCUCAAGCCAGCUGAUGCUGGGGGGAUGGAUGCUACCUUUCAGUUUGCAUAUUGAGAUUGUUUACACACAUGAUUAGCUAAUAUAUUAAGCUUCUUAAAGGAAAAAGAAAGGUAAAGCUCAGGGUUUAGUUUUGAUUUGCAUUCCUCACCCACUCUCUCCUUCACAAUACACCACCUGGAGAACAGCAAGGACUUGGCCAUCCCUGCCAACAGCUGGCUUUUGGAGAAGGGAAACAAAUGGUUAAAAUUCCACCAAAGGCUGCAGUGUCCAGGUGAUUCAGCACAUCCAGCCUCACACCACAGCACCUCAGGUAAGUGCUGGUCCCCAUCCCGUAAACUGGGGCAGCUCAGCCUGCUCAGAGGUGAGUGUUGGGUGUGUGCUCAGCAGCCUGGGGUGGUCAGACCCUGAUCCCCAUGGGAAGGACAAGAUCCCUGUGGGAAGCCUGCUCUGCCAGUGGCAGUGGGGUGCCAGGACAGGGGAGUGAGGGCUGCAGAGCCCACAGGCCAUGGGAGCUGCUCAGCACUGCAGCUUUUCCUCUGCACGGCUGCUCCUGGGGGCUGGGUGUGGUUUCAAGUCUCUUUUCUGUCUCAAGGCUGGAGAAAAACACCCUGGAGAUAAUCAGGGCUUUGUUUCAUCACCAGUGGGGCAGAGAAACUCAGCUGCAGACCCAGCUGGCACUUCCCUGGGCUUGCAGGACAGAGACCAUCAUUCCCUGAUCCAGAGGCCUUCUGGGCAUCUCCAGGACACCCCUGCCAGGUGUAAUCCCUCCUUCCACAGCAGCCACCACAGCAGAGCUCAGCUGCUCUUCUCUCCCCUCACGUUCCUCCCCAGCUCUCACCACCCAGGGUGUGUUAUUUAUACAACAUCUCUAAGCGUUGGCUUCUUCAACACAAUUUUUCCUUUAAUUACUUGCAUUAAAAAUAAAAAUGCCAAGCUAUGUGAACAACUGCUCUCAUUACAGUAUCAGUCCUCCAGCUAAUUAAUAUCUGUUAGCUUUGGCUUAUGCACCAGGAUGCCUAAAUCCAAAAUACACAAGGCUGCCAAGUUACUUUGCAAACAGGAGCACUUGCCUUGAAGAAAGAUUCACGUUUUCCAACUUCUCCUGUGCAACCUCCCCAUAACCUUUACUUUCAAGGUCUUAGAGAAGGAAAGCUCAUCCAGCACACAAAGAGAUUGCAGUGAAACCAAAGGGAAGACCCAGAGGAAAGCAAAGAGAUGAGAAACAGAUCUCCAGAAGAAAGAGAAAAACCAUCUUUGUACCUGAGAGGAAUGAUUUGUCUUUACAAACAAGCUGUGGGUCUGCUGGUAGAUUAAACCAGCACUGAGAGGUAAAAGAAACAAUGGGAAGGAUUCCACUGAUUGAUGAAUGGAAAAUGAUAUUUGCCUUUACAAAUAAACUGCAGGUUUGCUGAUAAUUGAAAUUGGGU